rnacentral:rRNA from 1 species
UACGGGGGGGGCAAGCGUUGUUCGGAAUUACUGGGCGUAAAGGGCUCGUAGGCGGCCAACUAAGUCCGACGUGAAAUCCCCAGGCUUAACCUGGGAACUGCGUCGGAUACUGGAUGGCUUGAAUUCGGGAGAGGGAUGCAGAAUUCCAGGUGUAGCGGUGAAAUGCGUAGAUAUCUGGAGGAAUACCGGUGGCGAAGGCGGCGACCUGGGUAGAUACUGACGCUGAGGCGCGAAAGCGUGGGGAGCAAACAGG